GUAGGGGGCGAGCGUUGUCCGGAUUUAUUGGGCGUAAAGAGCUCGUAGGCGGUUUCGUAAGUCGGAUGUGAAAACUCCAGGCUCAACUUGGAGACSCCAUUCGAUACUGCGAUGACUUGAGUCCGGUAGGGGAGUGUGGAAUUCCUGGUGUAGCGGUGAAAUGCGCAGAUAUCAGGAGGAACACCGGCGGCGAAGGCGGCACUCUGGGCCGGUACUGACGCUGAGGAGCGAAAGCGUGGGUAGCAAACAGGAUUAGAUACCCUGGUAGUCCACGCCGUAAACGGUGGGCACUAGGUGUGGGAUUCACUCAACGGAUUCCGUGCCGCAGCUAACGCAUUAAGUGCCCCGCCUGGGGAGUACGGCCGCAAGGCUA
rnacentral:rRNA from 1 species